rnacentral:rRNA from 1 species
UCGCCCGAUAGAGGGGGAUAACUACUGGAAACGGUGGCUAAUACCGCAUAAUGUCUACGGACCAAAGCAGGGGCUCUUCGGACCUUGCACUAUCGGGUGAACCCAUAUGGGAUUAGCUAGUAGGUGGGGUAAAGGCUCACCUAGGCGACGAUCUCUAGCUGGUCUGAGAGGAUGAUCAGCCACACUGGGACUGAGACACGGCCCAG